rnacentral:rRNA from 1 species
CCCUGCCAUUUGUACACACCGCCCGUCGCUACUACCGAUCGAGUGAUUUAGUGAGGACUUCGGACUGGUCUUCGAUAUGGCUCUCGGGUCGUGUCGGAGUACCGGAAAGAUGCCCAAACUUGAUUACU